UCAGACUCUGGUGUGAAGUGUUUAAUGUGACGCAGCCUGCAGACACAGAGGACUGAUGACGGAGAAGAAGCAGAGGAUUUUCUCUGUUUCUACACAGACCUGGUCCAGACAGCAGAGAGCUGCAGAGUGAAGACGUUCAUGGGAAGAAGCUGAGUGAAGGUAGAAAGUGUGUGUGAGCUGAUGUGAAUUGA